rnacentral:rRNA from 1 species
GAUGAACGCUAGCUACAGGCUUAACACAUGCAAGUCGAGGGGAAACGACAUCGAAAGCUUGCUUUUGGUGGGCGUCGACCGGCGCACGGGUGAGUAACGCGUAUCCAACCUGCCCACCACUUGGGGAUAACCUUGCGAAAGUAAGACUAAUACCCAAUGAUAUCCCACGAAGGCAUCCGAAUGGGAUUAAAGAUUUAUCGGUGAUGGAUGGGGAUGCGUCUGAUUAGCUUGUUGGCGGGGUAACGGCCCACCAAGGCAACGAUCAGUAGGGGUUCUGAGAGGAAGGUCCCCCCANAUUGGAACUGAGACACGGUCCAAACUCCUACGGGAGGCAGCAGUGAGGAAUAUUGGUCAAUGGGCGAGAGCCUGAACCAGCCAAGUAGCGUGCAGGACGACGGCCCUAUGGGUUGUAAACUGCUUUUAUAAGGGAAUAAAGUGAGUCUCGUGAGACUUUUUGCAUGUACCUUAUGAAUAAGGACCGGCUAAUUCCGUG